UGGUCAAGUUAUUAAGGGUGCAGGGCGGAUGCCUUGGCACUAGGAGCCGAUGAAGGACGUGAUAAGCUGCGAUAAGCUUCGGGGAGUUGCACGUAAACUUUGAUCCGAAGAUUUCCGAAUGAGGAAACUCACUUAGAGUAAUGUCUAAGUAUCAUUAAGUGAAUACAUAGCUUAAUGAGGGGAACUCAGGGAACUGAAACAUCUAAGUACCUGAAGGAAGAGAAAGAAAUUCGAUUCCGUAAGUAGCGGCGAGCGAACGCGGAUUAGCCCAAACCAAUAAAGUUUUCUUUAUUGGGGUUGCGGACAUAUCAUAACGAAGAGGUAUCGUAAUUGAAGAGGUUUGGAAAGACCCACCACAGAAGGUAAUAGUCCUGUAUGUUAAACGAGAAGACUUCAGAUAUGAUCCAGAGUACCACGGGACACGUGAAACCCUGUGGGAAGCAGGAGGGACCACCCUCCAAGGCUAAAUACUACCUAGUGACCGAUAGCGUAUAGUACCGUGAGGGAAAGGUGAAAAGAACCCCGGGAGGGGAGUGAAAUAGAACCUGAAACCCUGCACUUACAAGCUGUGGAAGCACAUUUCUUGUGUGACCGCGUACUUUUUGUAGAACGGGCCAACGAGUUACGUUAAGUAGCAAGGUUAAGCACUUAAGGUGUGGAGCCGUAGCGAAAGCGAGUUUUAACUGAGCGUUCAGUUACUUGACGUAGACCCGAAACCGGGCGACCUACCCAUGAGCAGGAUG
rnacentral:rRNA from 1 species